UACAGAGGUCUCAAGCGUUGUUCGGAUUCAUUGGGCGUAAAGGGUGCGUAGGUGGCGGGGCAAGUUUGGUGUGAAAUCCCGGGCUCAACCCGGAACUGCACUGAAUACUGCUUGCUUGAGCACUGGAGAGGGAACUGGAAUUUACGGUGUAGCAGUGAAAUGCGUAGAUAUCGUAAGGAAGACCAGUGGCGAAGGCGAGUUCCUGGACAGUUGCUGACACUGAGGCACGAAGCUAGGGAGCAAACGGG
rnacentral:rRNA from 1 species